rnacentral:pre_miRNA from 1 species
UUUAUACUCCCCCCGUCCCAAAAUUCUUGUCAUAGAUUUGUCUAAAUACGGAUGUAUCUAGUUACAUUUUAGUGUUAGAUACAUCAGUAUCUAGAAAAAUCUAAGACACAAAUUUUGGGACGGAGGGAGUAUGCG